rnacentral:SRP_RNA from 1 species
GCCGGGAGUGGUGGCGAGUGCCUGUAGUCCCAGCUACUCCGGAGGCUGAGGUGGGAGGAUUGCUUGAGCCCAGGAGUUCUGGGCUGUAGUGUGCUGUGCCAAUCGGGUGUCCACACUAAGUUCGGAAUCAAUAUGGUGACCUCCCGGGAGCGGGAGUGUGGGACCACCAGGUUGCCUAAGGAGGGGUGAACCAGCCCAGGUCGGAAACAGAGCAGGUUAAAACUCCCGUGCUGAUCAAUAGUGGGAUUGUGCCUAUGAAUAGCCACUGCACUCCAGCCUGGGCAAUAUAGACCCUAUCUCU